UACCAGCACCCCGAGUGGUCGGACGAUUAUUGGGCCUAAAGCAUCCGUAGCCGGCCUUACAAGUCCUCCGUUAAAUCCAGCUGCUUAACAGAUGGGCCGCGGAAGAUACUAUAGAGCUAGGAGGCGGGAGAGGCAAGCGGUACUCGAUGGGUAGGGGUAAAAAUCCGUUGAUCCAUUGAAGACCACCAGUGGCGAAGGCGGCUUGCCAGAACGCGCUCGACGGUGAGGGAUGAAAAGCUGGGGGGAGCAAACCGGG
rnacentral:rRNA from 1 species